GCGGGUUUUGUGUGAAAUCCAAUCUCUACAACUAUUCAAUACACCAACCACUCCAUUUCAUAACGAACUUCGUACGAACCUGAGUUGUCCAAUUUCUUGGACUAAUCUAUAUCGGAUUGAGUCCAAAACUUGGGGAUUAUCCUAAUACGGUGGGAGGAGUCAUUUGAUGUCUUUUGAGUGUAAUGCAAUCUCUAAAACUAUGCAAUACACCAACCACUCCUUUUCAGAACGAACUUCGUA
rnacentral:lncRNA from 1 species